rnacentral:lncRNA from 1 species
CAACAUUGAAUUAAAUUCAUCCAAACUUGAAUUUUGCAAAAUUCAAGCUUCGGGGAGUACUUUAUAUAAAAACAUCAUUUGCCAUGUUGCUAUGUUGGUUGUCCCUACCUUUGAGACAUGCUCAAUUUGUUAAAUAGUAAUCACACUACUUCAUCUCCACUUGAGUAGAUCUCUAUAAAAGCCAUCACGCUACCUUUGUUUAUCCUAGUAAGUGUUAGUUUGGAAGUACUGUACAUACUUAUAUUGGUUUUUAAAUUAAGCAUGGUGCUUAGGUUAAACAGCCUUCCUUAAUCUAAUUAGACAUGGAGUCUAGUUUGGUUAUUGAACUAAAAACUGCUUGUGUAGACAUUGGUAUAUUUUGUCAGACUAACCCCUGCAGAAAAAAAUAAACUUUCAACAUCAACUUGGGAAGCCUGAGAUAAACUCACAUUGGAGACAAAGAGAGAGACACAUGAAGUUUAACAAUUUACACAAGGAAAGCAUAGCUCACAAGAGAUGAUCCAUAGAGGGUGCCACAAACACGAUGCACAACCGCUAAGAAAGGAAAGCUUCCACAAGGUGAUACUAUACCAUCACUCUUUGUAACACCCGAAAUACUGAUUUUCAGUUUAUAGGAUUUAAUUUAAUUUAAUUAAGUGUUUUUGUGGGCAUUUGAAUCUAGCAAACAAAUAAUUUUGUGAAAAUUAAAACUCCUCAUAAGUUCAGAAACAUGUUAUGCAUUCAUGCUGGAGCAUAUUUAAUUCUGUGCUUUUGGCUUUUUGGUUUGAAUGAAUUUGCUUCAAAUUCACUUGUGAAAAUGCUUUGGAAAAUAAAAUAAAAAAAAGAAAACCCAGCCAACCCCCUGGGCCUAAUCCCUUUUCCCCGGCCCGCUUCCCUUUUCCCCCACCGCACCGCAGCGGCCCAAACGGCCCAGGCAGGUGCGCUCCCUCUCCUCUCUCACCGCCAACCGGGCCCCGCGCGUCAGUCUCCCCUAUCCCACCUUCCUUCUUCUUCCCAGCUGUGUCGCGAGCAGGGGAAGCUUCUUUCCCGAGCCAAAACCGUAAUCCCGCGAUCCCUUGCCUUUUUCGAGGAAUCAAACCUCUAUAAAGUUCCUAAGCACCCCGAGAGACCCCUUUCGCAUCCACGGAGUUCUAUCCGAGCCCUAGCCGUCGCGUUCUUCGGAGUUUGGAUCUCGCCGUGAACUCCUACCGCCGCCGCGCGCAACUGCUCCUUCCCGGGCCGAGCCGACCUCCGUGGUGAGCUCGCCAUUCCUUUCUCUUCACUCCAGUGCCUUCGGUGUUGUUUUUGGUGAACCGCAGCGUCGCUUUGGUGAACUCCGGCGAGGAGCUUGACGCCGGCAAUGGAAAUCCGCCGCGGCCGCUCCUGUUCCGGCGAGGAGGCCGGCCAGCCCCGCCCAGAUCGAAUACCAGCCGUCCGUUUGCAAAUCGACGAUCGUGAUUAAAAGAUACCCCUUCGGGGUGAAAACUCUUAAAGAGACCCUCGGCUUCCUCUUAUUUAAACCCGCGGUCCUGGCGCCCUGGAGGAGUUUACGCUUUCCAGUUUCAAAAGCGUAUUUCUGUCAGCUGAGUUUCAAAGGCGCUUUCCAGAAAUUACAGAAUUGCCACUAGAUUUGUUUUGCUUAUAAAAUGCUCAUUUUAACUCCGUUUUUGUCCAUUCAAAUUCCGUUGGAUUCGUAUUUACGAUAUCUACAUGUUAGAAAUAUUAGUUUACUGUUUUGAAACUUUUUAAUUUCCUGGUUCUAUUUAAUUAAUUAUUUCUCUAUAGAAAUCUUAGAAAAUUCAUAACUUCUACGUUUUAAAUCCGAUUUUCGUGAACUUUACGUUUGUGUGAUCGUAGCGCUGCGUAGAAUAUUUUGAUAAACUUUUACAUUUGUUUUACUACUGUUUGGUGUAUUGCUCUAAUUAUAUCUUGUUUGCUUCGUGUAUGAUUGUCUACAUUGGAAUGCGUGUUGUUGAUUGAUGAUUGGGAUUAGACGGUGAGCCGUACGUUGGUGACCAAGACCAAGCUUUUGAGGACCAGCAAGCUCAGGAGAGCUUUGAGCAAGGCAAGUAUAGCAUUUGGGUUUUAUAUUCUGUGACCAUGAUCCUGUGACUAGAUUAAUGUUAAGUAAUAAAUGAUAAAAAUGACUUUUUAGCCACUUGAUGAUUUAUCUGUAAGUGAUAACCGGGACAACAGUGCAACCAUGAGGGCUAUAAUGGCUCUGGCUUUAGCUCAGUAUGAAGACCUUUUCUAGCUUGUUAGAGGUUACCCGAAAGGGCGGAGGGGCUGAACCGUUUUGGGUAUAGUGCGAGCCCCUGUCCUUAUGUGUAUAGGCUGCGCGUCAUUGUGCCAUUUGGAAGGGGGGUAUCUAUAUCUGCGCGCAAAGGAAACCUUGCGGCCCUAACAUGUUAGACGAACUUUUGAAAGACUUCAUAGUGAACCCUGCCGGUUUUCCUUGGAAGUGAGCUAAGAGGUCGACGGGCCUCGGGCAAAAGGGUAAAUCACGACUCAUGGGUAAAGAUGUACAACCUCUGCAGAGUGUUAAAUCUGGUAUACUAGCCGUGCCCACGGAUACGGGCGGCCCGGAAAACUGACGGAAUAAAUGGACACUGAUGAACGUGAAUAAUGAUAAUAAAUGAUGGCUUAUUAUGUUGUUUAUAUGUGUUAUUCUUAAUUCUUGUAUACAUUGAUCAUGUGGUUAUGGGAUUAUUUAUGCUACCUUGACAAUUGCUAUUUAAUUAUGAACAUGCUAUCCACUAUUAAAAGCUAAAUGCAGUCAAACCAGUGUCAGCUACUUGAGCCUCAUGAACCCCUGGUUAUACUUGUUGAGUACGAUAUGUGCUCACUCUUGCAAUUUCCCAACACCUCAGGAAAUGAUAAUGAAGAUGACUGGAAUGAGGAUUAUCGUUAUGAGUACUAGGUUUGGAGUCAACCAGUCAACAGUGUCCCUGUGUGGAGCUUCCGUCGAGAGCGUUGUUUACUUUAUGCUAUCAUUUAUGUAUAAGACUAGGUGGUUUUAUUAUAUUCCGCUAUGUAAUAAACACUGCAAUGGUACAUUUGAGAUUUGUCUACUUAUGUGUGCGACUAUUCCUGGGGCACAUAUGAGUCUUUUAUGCAUCCUAUUUUGUUCUUAAAAUAUGGGUGUGACAAAUUGGUAUCAAAGCUUUGUUGACUGUAGGACGCAAACCUAGUUAGCAAAGGGUCAAAAAUUUAGGUCCUUACUUUACUUACUUCAUGCUUCCCACCAUGGUCUUGUUAUUUGCUAAAAGUUAUGCUUCUCUAUCUUGCUCUAUUGUGAAAUUAUUGCAUCCAUCUGAUCUAUGUCUAAAAACUUUUUGUAGAUGCCGCCUCGUACCCGCAGUGCUGCACGCAUGGCUGCUGAGGAGUACCGUGCCAUGUUCAACCUAGGAGGACAACGUGUGGAUGGAGUUCCUGAGCUGGAGGAUGAGGAAUCAAGGGUGGAAGCUCAGGAGGAAGGACCUGAGGAUGAGGAGAUGCAAGAUCUACCUCCACCACAGUCUGCUAAUGCAAGGAUGGGAUGGACUACUGAGCUGUGGAUUCCAGAAGCAGAUCCCAAGGCCUUCUUCCAUGAGAAUUUGGUGUUAACAUUGAAACACCAUUACCCGGAUUUGCAAGCCACACUGGAGUAUAACUGCACUGAGCACAAACACCCGCUGAGGAGAUCACUUUGGGAUGCAGAGCUGAUAGUCAAGACACUGGAUGCCACCAAGGGGAUUCGAAAGGUGGAAUCAAAACACAUCGCUCGAAUCAGCCGGGACACGAUGAGAGAGAGCAUGGCAGAUGCAGCUUACCAGGCCUUGGUCUUUUACCGUGGUAGACGUUUUGAGGAUGUUCAGUAUAAUGCAACAUACCACUAUCCUCGCUUUGUACCAGAGAAGAUGACUUGGGCCAUAGAAGUUGCAGAUGCUUCACAACCAAAGCUUCAAGCACAAGUGGAGUUGACUUAUGAGCUGACACUCAAGGUGAUAGAGUUGGAGAAUGAACUACACCGUGAGAGGAAGCUGUUGGAGAAAGAGCAAAGGGAAGCGGAUGACCUUCGAGCGGAGUUAGGCCGCCCCAAACUUCAUAAGAGGCUGCAUGUUGAACCCAUCUUGAAGGAUGCUGCACCCGAGGAAUAGAAAAGAACCCAUAUGUAAUAGGAACGUUAGUAGUUUACGAGUAUUUCGAGUCUUUUGCUAUUGUGGCGUGAACUUGGUGUGCUUGCUGAUUUGUUAUUAUGAAUAUGUGUGAUUUGGAUUUUUGUAAUGAGUGCUGGGACUUUGUGGGCAUGUCCACAAGUUCCCUAGUUAAGAACCUUAAGUAAGAACAUGAAUAAAUAGUGGGUUGGGGUCAUAUCCUGUUUCUGUCUUUUGCUGUUUUCUGGAGCAGUCUGCAAUGAUUCUGGAAUAAAUCAAAUUCUGCUCGUGCAAUGUUCAUCAAAUUUUUCUGGGAAAAAGUAGACUUUCAUAUAUUUCCAAUGCCGCAAGAAUGACCAUAUUAUCUAUUAUGAGCUGUGAGUUAUGACUGUUUAAAGUUGAGGUUUCUGCGCAGUCUGGAAUUCUGGAACAGUUUCGGUUGUACCCAGUUUUUGGUUAACCUCACGUUGGAAUCUGGUAAUAUGAUCUAAAUGAAAGUUGUAGAAAAUUUCUUUAUCUUUCCAACGGUGUACAGCAUGUAUCCUUUUGAAUUCUGGAACUCGAGAUAUUACUGAUUUUCUGAUCUGCUGAUGUGGGAUAUUACCCAGAAAAUUUCAGAUUCGGUUAACUCUUGUAAUUGUCAUGUUGGACAUUACUAAGAUGUGUUUAUAUACCUUGGAAUGCAGAUGGCAGCAAGGGGAAGAGGCAGAGGCAGAGGCCGUGGCAAUGGCAAUGACAAUGGCAAUGGUGGCAAUGCCCCAAUCACCGUGGAGGAACUCAUGCAAACCCAAAAUCAGAUGAUGCACGUUUUCAUGCAGCACCUGCAGCAACAACCUCCACCAACACCACCACCUGUUCAUGUGAGGGACAAGCGUGGAGAGUUUAUGAAGGGAAGACCUCCGGUAUUUACACACUCAGCUGAUCCCAUGGAGGCAGAUGAUUGGUUACGUGCUGUGGAGAGGCAGCUAAACAUAGCACAGUGCAAUGACUUGGAGAAGGUGUUGUAUGCUUCUGGACAGCUUCAAGGUGCAGCUCAGACAUGGUGGGAGUCGUAUCAAGCUGCUCGUCCCAACAAUGCUCCUCCUGUCACAUGGCUGGAAUUCUGUAGGGACUUCAGAGCUCGACACAUAAAUGAGGGAAUGAUGGAGCUCAAACAGGAAGAAUUCAGAUCACUCCGGAUGGGCUCCAUGACAGUGGCAGAAUAUCAUGACACGUUUGAACAGUUGGCUCGCUAUGCCCCGAAUGAAGUCAGGGAAGAUGCUGAUAAGCAGCGCUUGUUCAUGAAAGGCUUGUACUAUGAACUCAGGUUGCAGUUGGCAGGAAACACUUAUCCUACCUUUCAAGCUCUUGUGAAUCGUGCUAUCGUGCUUGAUAAUAUGCGGAAGAGUCAGGAUAAGAAGAGAAGGAUGCUGGUACAAGGAUCUGGGAGCAACAACCGUCAGCGUUUCAGUUCUCAUCAAGGCCAUCAGCAGAGGUUCCAGGGACCAGUUAGUCAGUGGAACCGUAACCAGCAACCCCAGCGUUUCCAGAAUCAGUCGCAGAGUGGGAACCAACGUCCUUCAUUCCAACAACGUAACUACAAUCAACAGCAGCAUGGUCAGCAGACACCUCGCUCAGGAAACUCAAAUGCCAACUCCACAAAAAGAAGUGCUUCUAACAUUCCUACCAGGUGUUUCCGUUGUGGGAAAGAGGGACACAUGUCAUAUGAUUGCCCGGAGAAGCUCAACAAACCGAACAACAACCAGAAGACUGCUGCUUAUGCGGCAACAGUGAAUAAUGUGGCUACAGAGACAGUUCAGGAGGGACCAGAGAUCAUGAUGGGUACGUUCAGCAUCAACUCUAUCCCUGCUACAGUUUUAUUUGAUUCUGGAGCUUCGCAUACAUUCAUAUCACAAGCAUUUGUUAGAGUUCAUAGCCUUCCACUAGUUGCAAUGAAAACUCCUAUGCUAGUUAAUUCACCGGGUGGGACUAUACCAGUUUCUUUAUGUUGCCCCUCCGCAAGUCUUUCUUUAAGGGGGGUAGAUUUUCCUAUCAGUCCCAUGGUUAUGAGAACUUCAGGCAUAGAUGUGAUCUUGGGUUUGGAUUGGAUGAAGCAACAUGCGACAAAUAUUAAUUGCAAAGAGAGAGUAGUGGCUCUGACAACACCAAAGGGAGAAAGAAUCAGUGUUGAUGUAACAAUGCAAGCACCACUCACAGCUAAAGUGAACCAACUGACUGAUGAUGUUGAUCCUCCGAAUCUGGUAGUGGAUGAGUUUCCGGAUGUCUUUCCAGAUGAAUUGCCAGGUAUGCCACCUGACCGAGACAUUGAAUUUAUUAUUGAGUUACUACCUGGUACUGCACCCAUAGCUAAAAGACCAUAUAGAAUGGGGGUUAAAGAACUAGAAGAACUUAAGAAACAAAUUAAGGAAUUGCAAGAUAAAGGGUUCAUUCGUCCUAGUUCAUCACCAUGGGGUGCACCAGUUAUCUUUGUUGAUAAGAAGGAUGGUAGUCAGAGGAUGUGUGUUGAUUAUCGGUCACUUAAUGAGGUCACUAUCAAGAAUAAAUAUCCAUUGCCUAGGAUUGAUGACUUAUUUGAUCAGCUAAGAGGUGCUUGUGUGUUCUCUAAGAUUGAUCUGCGUUCUGGUUAUCAUCAAUUGAAGAUUCAGAAUUCAGACAUACCAAAGACAGCUUUCACAACAAGGUAUGGGUUAUAUGAGUAUACAGUUAUGUCUUUUGGUUUGACCAAUGCACCAGCUUACUUUAUGUACAUGAUGAAUAAAGUAUUUAUGGAGUAUCUUGAUAAGUUUGUGGUGGUCUUUAUUGAUGACAUUCUGGUAUUCUCUAAAACCAAGGAAGAACAUGCUGAACAUCUGAGAUUGGUCUUACAAAAACUUAGAGAACAUAAGUUGUAUGCUAAGCGUAGUAAAUGCGAGUUUUGGUUGGAGGAAGUUUCUUUUCUUGGCCAUGUUGUCUCUAAUGGUGGUAUUGCAGUGGAUCCUAGUAAGGUGAAAGAUGUGUUGAAUUGGAAACCACCUACAGAUGUAAGCGAAAUUCGCAGUUUUCUUGGUCUAGCUGGUUACUAUCGUAGAUUCAUUGAAGGGUUCUCAAAACUUGCAAAGCCUAUGACUGCUUUGUUGGAGAAGAAUGCUAAGUUUGUAUGGACUGAUAAGUGUCAAGCUAGUUUUGAGGAGUUUAAGAAGAGAUUGACUACUGCACCUGUGUUGGUAUUGCCAGAUCUGAGUAAGAGUUUCUCUAUCUAUUGUGAUGCUUCUCGUCUGGGUUUGGGUUGUGUUCUUAUGCAAGAAGGUAGAGUUGUUGCUUAUGCAUCCAGACAGUUGAGGAAACAUGAACUGAAUUAUCCUACUCAUGAUUUGGAGUUAGCAGCUGUGGUUCAUGCACUCAAGAUUUGGAGACACUAUUUGAUUGGGCAUAAAAGUGACAUAUAUACUGAUCAUAAGAGUUUGAAGUAUAUCUUCACCCAGACCGACUUGAACUUGAGGCAACGAAGAUGGUUGGAACUGAUAAAGGAUUAUGAUUUGGAAGUGCAUUAUCAUCCUGGGAAGGCGAACGUCGUAGCCGAUGCACUUAGCAGAAAGAAACAUGCUAAUGAGCUUCGGGCGACACCUGAAUCUGAAGAGUUGUGUGCUGAAUUUGCAUAUUUGAACUUGGGAAUCGUAGUAAAUGCUAUGGAGAUUGAGGUCACUCCUACUCUAGAGGAAGAGAUAUUGAAAGGACAGUUGGAAGAUGAGAAACUGAAGGAGAUAGCACAGAAUGUGGUACUAGGCAAAGCACCAGGAUUCAGAAUAGAUGACAAUGGUGUACUAUGGUUUGGAAAAAGGAUAUGCGUUCCAGAAGUGAAGGCUAUUCGUGAUAUGAUUCUGAGAGAGGCUCAUGAGUCAGCAUAUUCCAUUCAUCCUGGUAGUACUAAGAUGUAUCUAGAUCUGAAACAGAAGUACUGGUGGUAUGGCUUAAAGAGAGAUGUGGCCGAAUAUGUUGCUUUGUGUGAUACUUGUCAGCGAGUGAAGGCUGAACACCAGAGGCCAGCUGGACUGUUGCAACCAAUGAAGAUUCCUGAGUGGAAGUGGGAAGAAGUAGGCAUGGAUUUCAUAGUGGGUUUACCUCGUACACAGAGAGGAUAUGAUUCAAUAUGGGUAAUAGUGGAUCGAUUGACUAAAGUUGCUCACUUCUUGCCAGUCAAAACCACUGAUUCAGGAGCUCGACUAGCAGAGUUGUACAUGGAGCGGAUAGUUUGUUUGCAUGGAGUGCCUAAGAAGAUUGUAUCUGAUAGAGGCACUCAGUUUACCUCUAUUUUUUGGAAAGCAGUGCAUGACUCAUUGGGAACCAAGUUGAAUUUCAGUACCGCGUAUCAUCCACAGACAGAUGGACAGACUGAGAGGAUCAAUCAGAUAUUGGAAGAUAUGUUGAGAGCUUGUGCCUUGCAGUAUGGGACUAGUUGGGAUAAGAGUUUGCCAUAUGCAGAAUUCUCCUACAAUAACAGCUAUCAACAAAGUCUUAAGAUGGCACCGUUCGAGGCACUAUAUGGUCGGAAGUGCAGGACACCUUUGUUUUGGAAUCAGACAGGAGAAACUCAGGUGUUUGGUACGGAUGUGCUUAGACAUGCAGAACAACAAGUGCGAACCAUCCGGGAUAAUCUGAGAGUUGCUCAGUCUCGUCAGAAAAGUUAUGCAGAUACACGUAGGAGAGAACUAGCUUUCGAGGAAGGUGAUUAUGUCUAUCUAAAAGUGUCACCUAUGCGGAGUGUGAAGAGGUUUAAUAUGAAGGGAAAGCUAGCUCCAAGGUAUGUUGGUCCGUUUAAAGUUUUGCAAAGGUGUGGAGAAGUAGCGUAUCAGUUAGAGUUGCCUGAAAGUUUAUCUGGCGUGCACGAUGUGUUCCAUGUGUCACAACUCAAGAAGUGUUUGCGUGUACCUGAGGAGCAAUUACCAUUGGAAGAACUUUCUGUUAAAGGUGAUCUCACUUAUGAGGAGUAUCCGGUCAAAAUAUUGGAGACAGCUGAGAGAGUCACCAGAAGUCGGGUCAUCAGAAUGUGCAAAGUACAGUGGAAUCGACAUUCGGAAGCAGAGGCAACUUGGGAAAGAGAGGAUGAUCUGAGAAAAUCGUAUUCAUAUUUGUUUGAGUAAGUUCUGUUCAAUCUCGAGGACGAGAUUCUUUUAAGGGGGGUAGAGUUUGUAACACCCGAAAUACUGAUUUUCAGUUUAUAGGAUUUAAUUUAAUUUAAUUAAGUGUUUUUGUGGGCAUUUGAAUCUAGCAAACAAAUAAUUUUGUGAAAAUUAAAACUCCUCAUAAGUUCAGAAACAUGUUAUGCAUUCAUGCUGGAGCAUAUUUAAUUCUGUGCUUUUGGCUUUUUGGUUUGAAUGAAUUUGCUUCAAAUUCACUUGUGAAAAUGCUUUGGAAAAUAAAAUAAAAAAAAGAAAACCCAGCCAACCCCCUGGGCCUAAUCCCUUUUCCCCGGCCCGCUUCCCUUUUCCCCCACCGCACCGCAGCGGCCCAAACGGCCCAGGCAGGUGCGCUCCCUCUCCUCUCUCACCGCCAACCGGGCCCCGCGCGUCAGUCUCCCCUAUCCCACCUUCCUUCUUCUUCCCAGCUGUGUCGCGAGCAGGGGAAGCUUCUUUCCCGAGCCAAAACCGUAAUCCCGCGAUCCCUUGCCUUUUUUGAGGAAUCAAACCUCUAUAAAGUUCCUAAGCACCCCGAGAGACCCCUUUCGCAUCCACGGAGUUCUAUCCGAGCCCUAGCCGUCGCGUUCUUCGGAGUUUGGAUCUCGCCGUGAACUCCUACCGCCGCCGCGCGCAACUGCUCCUUCCCGGGCCGAGCCGACCUCCGUGGUGAGCUCGCCAUUCCUUUCUCUUCACUCCAGUGCCUUCGGUGUUGUUUUUGGUGAACCGCAGCGUCGCUUUGGUGAACUCCGGCGAGGAGGCCGGCCAGCCCCGCCCAGAUCGAAUACCAGCCGUCCGUUUGCAAAUCGACGAUCGUGAUUAAAAGAUACCCCUUCGGGGUGAAAACUCUUAAAGAGACCCUCGGCUUCCUCUUAUUUAAACCCGCGGUCCUGGCGCCCUGGAGGAGUUUACGCUUUCCAGUUUCAAAAGCGUAUUUCUGUCAGCUGAGUUUCAAAGGCGCUUUCCAGAAAUUACAGAAUUGCCAC